ACUACCCGGGCAGCGCGGCGGGACCAGGCCCCUUUCCCCGCCCGCCGCCUUGUGGCUCCGCGGUGGGACCGGGCCUCCCUCCCCGCCCGCCGCCAUGGGGCACCGCUGCAGAGCUGCGCCGGGGCGGCCGCCGUGAGGGCUUCCAGCUGGUGCCCGGCUGAGGCGCCGGUGAUGGGACGGCUGUAACACAGAGCUCGAGGCUGGCAAAGAGCUCUCUGGGGGACACAACCCUCAGUUUGCAUCCUUGGCUGUAGGAGCCGCCUCGCUGAGGCAGCGGUAGCUGUUGGAAGAAAAGGAAAUGAGCUGUUGGUGCCGCUUUGAAGAUUCCCAUUUGAAAGAGAUGGAGAAGAUGGAAACUUCCCCAAUUUAAGUGGGGCUGCUGGAGAAGUCCUUGUUUUCAGGAUCUGGAUGCAGUAACUUGAAAUAGCAAAGGCGGUUGGGGGCAAGGUUAUAAUACGAAUUACAUAUAGAAUUUGUUAAUCCCUUUCACUGCUUGUUUAAAAUGAUAUUCUUAUUAAACUUAUUUGUAUUUUAACUUGA